GAGCUCAGCUGGUAGAGAGUGAGACUCUUAAUCUCAGGAUCAUGGGUUUGAGCCCCAUGCA
rnacentral:tRNA from 1 species